rnacentral:rRNA from 1 species
GACGAACGCUGGCGGCGUGCUUAACACAUGCCAGUCGAACGGAAAGGCCCUGCUUUUGUGGGGUGCUCGAGUGGCGAACGGGUGAGUAACACGUGAGUAACCUGCCCUUGACUUUGGGAUAACUUCAGGAAACUGGGGCUAAUACCGGAUAGGAGCUCCUGCUGCAUGGUGGGGGUUGGAAAGUUUCGGCGGUUGGGGAUGGACUCGCGGCUUAUCAGCUUGUUGGUGGGGUAGUGGCUUACCAAGGCUUUGACGGGUAGCCAGACUGAAAGGGAGACCGGCCACAUAGGGAUUGAGGCACGACCAGGACUCCUUCGGGAGGCAGCAGUGGGGAAUGUUACACACUGGGCGGAAGACUGACGCAACAACGCCGCGUGCGGGAUGACGGCCUUCGGGUUGUAAACCGCGUUCGCGUGUGACGAAGCGUGAGUGACGGAAAUAGGUAAAGAGGCACCGCCUAACUACGG